rnacentral:lncRNA from 1 species
CUUAUAACUGGGAAGAAAGCGGUGAGUUUUGAUGGGCCAGAAGAGGAGAGGAACCUAGCAAUGUAUGUGCUUUGUGCAAUGAAAGAAGAUCGGUUGGAAGAAGUUGUGGAGAAAGCGAUGAUGGUGAAAGAGGCAAGUUUUGAGGAAGCUGUUAAACAAGUGGCUAAGGUAGCAAUGAAAUGCUUGAGAAUUAAAGGGGAAGAGCGGCCCAGCAUGAAAGAAGUGGCUAUGGAGUUGGAGGGAGUGCGAUCAAUGCAAGUUCAACAUUCAUGGGCUAAUAAUAAUGAUUCGUCCAACUAUGAGGAAACGAUAUGUUUAUUGGAUGUGGAAGCUUCAGACUCGAACAAUUUUGCUUCGCGUGGCACUACGAGUAUCGUUGGGGAUAGCAUAAAAGCUUCAAUUUUGCCGCACAUUCACCAUGGAAGAUGAUUUUAUAUCUUAUUUAUAUACAUACUUCCUUAAAUAUAAAGAGCAGAAUUUUCGUAUAGAAUUUAGAUUUAUAAGUUAGAUUAUAUGUAUAUGCUACAUUAUUCUGAAACUUGAUAUAUAUUAUUGUUGUAUAAUGCUUAACGGGUUGAUUUAUAUUUCGUUUAUGAAUGCUUUUGGGAGACCAAAAUGCAACUUUAGAAAAUUUUAACCAUUUUUAGAUGUUCGGUAAAAUAGAUGGUUCCUUAAUUUUUUAAAAUAACUUUUUUUUUCUAAUUUAUCAUAUCAAUUAACAAGUGUUUUAAACUAAAAUCUCAUCCUUUUAUAUCCCUUCAAAAGAAGAGUAUCUUCACAAUAGCUAAAAGUUGUUAAAUUAAAAUUUCUCGAGUAGUGUUACACACCACCCCACAAAAUGUCCUUAUCCUCGCGUUGUGGCACUCGAACACGACUUGAGGAGCCUUGACGUCUGUUAGCAAAACACCAUAACACUCGAUUUUAAACCUUUGAACCUUGAACUUUACACUUAAAGCUUAGCUCGAACUAGGACUCUUAAAACUACUAAGCGAUAAGGGAAAAACAACAACGCAAGAUAAAUAAACGAACUCUUUAUUAACUUAAUAACAUCCGUUGAAGAUGCAUAAUACAUUCUUUCUUGAAUAGAAAGAUUUAUAACAAACUUCAAACUUCGAACGUGUAGCAUAGCUUCUUCAAAUUCAAACUUUAGAACACACCUGGCUCUCGCCUUAACACGUAGCAGCUCACCUUACUCUUAUCAACUUGACCUCAACGCCUUUGUAGGUAGCUUAGUGGGUAACUGUGCUUGUCAGCCCAACCCCCCUUCCAACCUUAGUUCAGAUCUUACUUGUGUAGCCUUUUUUUUAGCCGUCAAUAAAUUUUAUGAAUCUACUACUACUUGUAACCUGGAAAAGGAAAACUUAAAACAUAGAUCAAUUACACAAUGAGUGAGGUUUUAAAAAUCAUUUUUGGGACAUAAAAAUGAAUCACAUAAGUUCAUUUUCAUAAACAAGCUCACAACGCCUCUUUCAAAACAUAUACACACACAUUAACUUCUACUUAUUUCUUUUACCCAAGAACAUGAACUAUUCACAUGCAUAAACUACUGCGAUUUCUCAUAUCCUUCCAGAAUUUUCUAAUUCAGGUGGUUAACUCAAUACACUACCUGUCAAGUAUUGGUCCACUUGACGCUUUUCAAUGUAUCAAGUAAUCCAGUGCCAAGAAUAAAGAUUAAGUUUAUGAGAUUAGUUGACAUUUUUUAUGUGUAAAAAAUUGUUUUCUUAACAUGUUUUACACAUCAAGAAUGUGUUUAUACUUAACAUGUUUUACGUGUCAAUAACUUGUUUAAAACAGGUCAAAUUUUGUUUAUUAUUUACAAGACUUUUUUCUUCAAAUGAAAAGUUGUACCGUUAUAUUGACCCAAGACUUGUUUAUGUGUAUUCUUAACAUGUUUUACACAGUUAUAUUGCACCACCUGUUUUGAAGCACAAAUUUGCUAGGGCACUUGCAAAUAUAGAAAAAAAAAAUUAUGAUAAUAUGACCCAUAUCACUACAUUUUCUAAAUUGUAAAAGUAUAAAAUUUAAAAUUAAUAAUCAUAUGAUAGCCCUAUGAUAUCACUAAUUACUUAUCAUAUUUGUCAUAGUCACAAUAUGCAAAAAAUAGGUGUCAUAGGCUAUAUUUUUCUAAAUUUUUGGCAUCUGAUGCAAUUUCUCAUUUGUUAAACUACGCAUAUUAAUUGAACAAUUGAAUCAAUUCAAACUUUCCAUCAAAGAACUAAUAUGGUAACAAUUUGCAUAUAUCACUUAACCAUCCAUAUAGUUGGUCAUUACAUAUACUUAAAUACAAUAGUCCAAACUUCUACCACAUGAAAAAUCUUAAAGUCUGUCACAUGUAAAUAUACGAGGAAAAGUUAACAUUUGGUCUAUGCUCAGGAUUCUUUCGUAACAUGCCCUUAAUAAGUGUCUUCCUCAUGUAGAAAAGAGUAAUGGUUUUAAUAUUAGACUGCACAAGAACUAAAGAAUUAAGUCGUCUCAAUUUACGAAGUUAGUUCUUCAGGCAUAUUAUUUUUUCGUUAAGAAAAUACAUAUGCUAGCGAAUAAUGUGCCGCUAUAGUCAUAAAUGCAAAAUAAUAAAUGAACAUUUCAGAAAUCUAAAAUAGCAAACUCCAUCCUCUUGUUAAUAAAAGUUGUUCAUAAUUUAGGAAACAAGAAACCUAAAGUGGGAUUGAUUAAUGAACAGGUUGCUAAAAAACUAAGGAACCCAUGCAAAAAAGAAAAACUGAAAAAAGAAAGAAAGAAAAAAAACUUGGUAAUCAGAUCUUUAAUUUCAACCAGGACACUUUUUGUGAGUUUGGACACUGUAUACCUUUGUAAAUAAUAUCAUUAUUUUCAAUGAAUGCUUGGUUUGCUACAAAAUAAAUAAAUUCUAAGGAUAUUUGAUUUUUCAAAACAUCAUAUCAUAAUGCAAUAAACUUGAUUAAACUGUAGUUUUAGACUUACAAGGAUGGAGAAUAGCAGGAUGGCAAGGGACCAAAGGAUGAGCGAUUAAUUUUACUAAUGAGUCAUGUCAUAUCAUGAAAAUAGUUAUCCAAUGUCAAAGUAAUCAUUUAUUAAGAAGAUAAAUGCCUUUAGCUUAAGCAUCAUAUGCAUAAAUGAGACUUUAAAGCCCACCAAGUUUUGGAGGAUGCAUAAAAGCCCUAAAAUCCCUCAAACCAAAAUUUAAAUAUAAUUAGUGAAAAUACACCAACUCUUACACAAGCUUAAAAUAUUGGGCAAUGUGUGGCCAUCUCAUACUCCACAAAUAUAAACCCUGCCCAAACGAAACUAUAUUAAGCAAUUGAAAGAGAAAGAUUAAAGUUGUGGAGUUGAGACCAUAGUUUCUUGGUUCCAUGAAUAAUUUAGACGUUGAGUUUUUGGAGUGAUUCACAUCAAGUAUGCAAAAAAAUAGUAUACACGAUGGAAAAAUAACAUAAAUUACAUUUAAAUAUUGGGUGAUGUGCGGCCAUCUCAUACAUAAUACCGAAUGAAAAAAAUAAUUUUGCUUUUGAUGUAGUGGUUGUGCCCCUCUGCACAACCCCUUGGUUGUGAGUUUAAAUCUCAUCUACUACAAUUAUUUUUACGAAAUAGUUUUUUUUUCCAAAUAUCAAUAAUUUUUUUCCUCAAUAUCAAAUUUCUUACUCAAUUAUUAUAAAAUAGAUUUAUUAUAAACGUCAAUCAAUUUCUUUUCCCAAAUAUCAAUAAUUUUCUUCCCAAAUAUCAAUAAUUUUCUUUUCCUAAAUAUCAAAUUUCUUCAUGAUUUCCUAAAAGGAAGAUAUCAAAUUUCUUCCUAAAUUUCAACGAUUUUGCAAAAGGAAGAUAAUUUGAUUUCCUAAAAGGAAGACAAUUUUUUAAAAAGAGAAAAAAAAACUCAUAUAUAACCCUAACUUAUUUCCUAGACCGAUGAUCCAAACUUUCACUCCAAAAUCGGUGAUCCAAACUUUCACUCCAUCAACAAUAUUUCAUGAAAAAUAUAUUGUUCUUUUUUCUUUUAUGCAAAUUUUUAAUUCACAUAUUUACAUUAAAAAUAAAUCAUGUGAAAAUUGCCAGUCUUUUUUUAUUGCUACAAAUGUAGUGAAUGUUAUUGAACAUCAGUGAAACGUCGAGAUAUUUUUUUAACAUUUUUAGUGUGUUUAUCAUAUAGUGUCUGAUGCCCCUGUUCACACGAGAUUUCGAAGAAAUGUAUUUCGUGGAAUUGAAAUUUGCAUAUUGAUCAAUAUUGUGAAUACAAUCUCUAGUAUUUACUCAUUUGAUGCUUUCUCUCUAAUACAAGAUAAAAACUUUAGAACUUCUUGGUCUUCGGUCUUUAGGAUAUUGUAGUUGCAAGUCUAUUUGAGCUUCAGUCUUUUGGAAUUCAAGAAAAGUUUGAUCUUCCAAGUCUUCAAUCUUUCAGAAGAUGAUGAUCUUGAAACUGAUAAGAACUUUCACGUCUUGAGAGCUUUAUAGAAGUUUGAAUCUUCAAUUCUUCAGUAUUUCAGAGCUUCGAUUCUUCAUUCAACCAAAUACCCCCUCAAAUGAAUGACAAAGGUCUCUAUUUAUAGAGAAAUUUUGUGGCCUUUAGGUGGGCUUUGGCCCAUUUGCUUGUUGGGCUUGGACUUUGACCAAUUUGUCUGUUGGGCUUAGGCUUGGGCCCAUUUGCCUUAUUGGGCUUGAGUCCAUAUGCUUGUUGAGCUUGGACUUGACUAAUCUGCUUAUUGGACUUGAAUUUGGUUGGAUUGAGUAAACUUAAUUAUCAAAAUCCAAUAAAAUAUAAUUAUCGAAUAUUUGUUGUGAUGAUGUGGCAGAAUUUAAUUGGCCGAAAUUUCGUGCUCAACAAAUGUCCCCUUUCGAGAUUAGUGCACGUGUAUGGGUGGACGAGUCUCAAAAACGAUAAGCUGAAACAAAAAAUACUAAGUGAUUUGUUCUUGACUAUGAUUUCAGUUAAUAUGACAAAUUAAUCACACUAUGCAUAAGUGUGGUUAAAAUGCUAUAUGAAGUUUUGGUGAAUUUUGAAUUCAAUUCACAAUUUUUAUUUAUAUAUAUUUUAUAUAUAUAUAUAAAUCGUUUGGAAUAUGGCCAAGAUAUUUUUGUUUUUUACCAAUGACUUUAAUGAGAUAAUUGUGGCUUGAAAUUGAGAAAAUUGAAAUAUUGCCAAACUCAUCGAUUUAAGUCCAAAGUUUUGAUUUUUUUUUUUUUUUUUGCACAAUCUUUUAAUUUGAAUUUGUAGCAAAACUUGUGCUACUGAAAGAUGAAUUGCUCCCAAAUUUAAAUUUUGAAUUUUUUUUAUUUUACUUAAUUUGAAAUUGAAAUAAAUUUAUGCUUUGGAAUAAAGUUUAAAAUUUUCAAACAGAAUAAAAAGCAAAAUUAUUUGGAGAAAGUAAAUUUUUUUUCUUCAAUUAUGUAUUUAGUUAGGAGAAUUUUAUUUAAAAGAAACAUUUUAUUUAUUGAAAUAAUUUGUUAUUAUAUAUAAUAUAUAUAUAUAUAUAUAUAUAUAUAUAUAUAUAUAUAUAUAUAUAUAUAUAUAAAAAUAAAGAAAAAUAUUAGGACUCAAUCCCAACUCCUAACUCAAUCUCAACUCUUAAGAUUUGUUGUUUGUUGAGAAGUAGGAGAAGUUGGAGAUUGAUGCAUUUCUUACCCUAUAAAUAGAGAACAAAGUUGAGAGCAAAAAUCAUUCCCUUCUUCAUCAUCACUUUUUGGCUCUUCAAAAGUUUUUCGAAUUCUUUUUUUUUUUUUGAAUGGUAGCAGCUUAAAGAAAAGAAGAUUUUUUUUUUAAUUCAAGUUAUUUUCACUUUACUACUUUUUUAUAUGUAUUUUCUUUCCUUUUUUCAUUUUCUUUUUCCUUUUGUUUAUUUUCUUUUUUUAAACUGACUUUCACUUUGACCUUUUUUUUUCCUCAUUCCUUGAAGGCUCUAUGCAAGCAUCUUGGCUUCAUGGGUUUGUACAUGAUAGAUGAUGCAACUCUAUCAUGGCGUCCAUUGUUUCUUCGGCUUCUACUUCUUGGGUUUGUACAUGAUAGACGAUGCAACUCUAUCAUGGCGCCCACUGCUGCUGCGACUUAUUGGGUUUGUACAUGAUAGACGAUGCAACUCUAUCAUGGCUCCCACUGCUGCUGCGACUUCUUGGGUUUGUACAUGAUAGACGAUGCAACUCUAUCAUGGCUCCCAUUGCUGCUGUGACUUAUUGGGUUUGUACAUGAUAGACGAUGCAACUCUAUCACGACGCCCACUACUGCUGCUACUUUUUGGGUUUGUACAUGAUAGACGAUGCAACUCUAUCAUGACGUCCAUUGCUGCUAUGACUUCUUGGGUUUGUACAUGAUAGACGAUGCAACUCUAUCAUGGUGCUCACUGCUUCUUCGACUUUUUGGGUUUGUACAUGAUAGACGAUCCAACUCUAUCAUGGUGCCCACUACUUCUUCAACUUUUUUUGGUUUAUACAUGAUAAACGAUCCAACUCUAUCAUGGCGGCCACUGCUACUGCAACUUCUUAGGUUUGUACAUGAUAGACGAUGCAACUCUAUCAUGACGCUCAUUGCUGCUGUAACACAUCGAAGAAGAUGAAGAUAAAUCCUCCUGACUGCAACAUAUGUGAGAAUGAAGAUGAUGAUAGUUGCUGCAACACAUCAAAGAUGCAGUUGAUGACGGUUGCUACAACAGAUCAAAGAUGCAAAUGAAGACGGAUGCUGCAACACAUCGAAGAAGAUGGAGAUAAAUCCUCUUGGCUGCAAUACAUCGAAGAAGAUGAAGAUGAAUCCUCUCGACUGCAACAUAUGUGAGAAUGAAUAUGAAUUCUCUCGGCUGUAACACCUGUGAGAAAAUGAAGAUGAUGACAGCUGUUGUAACGCGUCGAAGAUGCAGAUGAUGACGACUGCUACAACACGUCAAAGAAGGUGGAGAUGAAUCCUCUCAGCUGCCACAUAUGUGAGAUUCGAUGCAGAUGAUGACGACUGCUACAACACGUCAAAGAAGGUGGAGAUGAAUCCUCUCAGCUGCCACAUAUGUGAGAAGAUGAAGAUCUUCUCGACUGUAACACGUGGAAAGAUGAAAGAUGAGGACAGCUGCUGCAACACGUCGAAGAAGCAGAUGAUGACAACUGUUGGAACACGUGAGACAAGAAGAAGAUACUCCACUCUCAGCCACAACAGUUGAGAGAAAAGCUAGAGCUUGCUAAUUUGACUUUGCCCCCUUUCUUUUCUGUUGUAACUCCUCAUGAAUUUCAUUCUCUAUUGAGAUUACAUCAUCGCAGUGAAACAUAAUACCUUUUUUUUUCUUUCGACUGAACUCAAAGUAAACUUUAAGUUGCCUACGUACCCUUUUUAUAACAUAGAGAUCAAGUCAUAACAUAGUUCAAUUGAGUUUUUUUUUUUUUUUCUUUCAUUCACCUUUAAGCUCUUGUGGACUAGGAGCAUCAUGCAGUUUAGGCUCUUGCGAUAAGGAGCUUUUCACAUUUAACAAAUAUUUUCAUCAAAAAUUUGUUCACCUUUUUCAUUUGCAGAAUUAGUGAAUAUAAUAAUUUUUGGCUUCACGAUCAAGGGACCUUCUGUGUUUAUGUCAACAAAUAACUUCCUCUUCAUGCGUGAUGAGACACAACUGCGUAUCUUCUCGCCAUUAUUUUCUUCAUGAAGUGAUUUUACCUUCAAAGUUUUCAUCUCUUUUUCAUGUUGAUCACUUGUCAUAUUUAGUCUAUCAAAAACAGAUGUUGAAGGUUGAUAUUUCUUUGAUGUGGAGAUACUUAGCCUUUUGAAAGCUAAAGUUUGAGUGGAAGUAGAUGUUAAACAUUGGUUUUCUUCUUCUUUCAUGGUCAUACUCAAUCUUCGAAAGACUGAAGAUCGAGUAGUUAAAGGCUUGAUAUGAUCAAAGACAGAAGUCUUUUGCUUAAUUUCAUUUUAAUUUUCGAUUUCUUCAGAAGAUGCAUAAUUGUUGUCGACUUCUGUUAUACUGACAACAUGACAUGCAAUUACUUCUAAUAUUUCCUUGGGAUGAACAUCAAGGAAGCUUUUUAGGAGGAAUUUCCUCAAAGUUAUCGACCGUCGAGGCCGACAGAAGUCCUCGUUUUUUUCUUUCACAGGCUUAGGCUUCCACAUCUUCUUGUUUAUUUUUUCCUUCAUUUUUUGGGAGAUGCGUUCUUUUGCAUGCUUUUGACGAAAUGACGACUCCUUUUGAAUGAAAUUUGGUUGUCUUUCUUUUCGAUGAGUCACAACUAUCCAUCCUUCGUCAUCAUCUUUAACAUGCUCUUCUUUGUUUUGGGAGUUUGUCGUCACGUUCCUUUGUUGGAAUUGGACAAAUGUAGGUCCAAACGUCCCAAACUGAAUUAAGCUUUUCCUUUGAUCAUAAUUUGUGUUGAUGGUGGAACACUUGAAGUCAUCUCGACCGCAACAUGAUUCGUCUCAGCUAAUUCAUCAAUAUCUAGCUCGAUCUUCUUCUCACGAGCUAACUUUAGAAUCAACUCUUUUAACAUGAAACACUUUCCAACAGGGUGACUAAUGACCUGAUGAUACUUACCGUAUUUAGGAUCAUUUGCUUUUCCUGCUUGUUCCGGUCGUUUGCAUUCUGGCAGUUGAAUAAGUUUCUUAUCUAGAAGUUGCUUUAACAUGUCUGCAACAUCAGAGUCAGGAAAUGGAUAAACUUUUUCCUGUCUUUCUUUAAGAGUUGAGCGUUGUUUUUCCCCGCUAUCACGCUUUCCUUCAAUUUUUGUUUCUUUUUCUUUUAGAGAAAUAUUUCAAAGGGGUUGCAUGAACAACCAUAGACUCGUUUAUGACACUAUUUACAAUCAUUUUAGUGUCAUCAAUUUCAUUCUUGUCACUUCUAAUUUUUGGAACCAAGAAAUCUUUUGCUCCUUUGCGUGUGAUACUUAGUUCCAUAUCAUGGGCACGAGUCGCCAACUCUUCAAACGUGCGUGGUUUUAUCCCCUGCAAAAUAUAGAGAAGUUCCCAAUGCAUGCCUUGGGUGCACAUCUCAACUGCAGAAAUUUCUAUGAGCUUGUCUUUGCAAUCCAAGCUUAGAGCUCUCCAUCGGUUUAUGUAGUCGAUGACUGGCUCCCCCUUCCGUUGUUUGGUGUUUGUCAACUCCAUCAUGCUGACGAUACAUCAGGUGCUGUAGAAGCGAUUGAGAAAGUCACCCUCAAGCUGCUCCCAACUGUCAAUGGAUUCAUGUUCCAGGUCGAUGUACCAGUCGAAGGCGUUUUCUUUUAGAGUUCGAACGAACUGUUUUACCAACAAAUCUCCUCUCGCACCAGCAAUUUCACAUGUUUCAAUGAAGUGAACAACAUGUUGUCUUGGGUUACCCUUUCCAUCAAACUAUUGGAACUUGGGUGGUUGGUAUCCAUUCGGCAUUCUAAGAUUGUCGAUCCUCUUCGUAUAUGGUUUGGAAUACAAAGAGAGAGUUUGAGCAGGUCCACCGUAUUGAGUUUUGAUGGAGUUUGCAAUCAUUUCCUGUAACUACUGAACAAACAGCGAUGCAAUUGAAGUCAAAUUUUGUGGAUGACUUUCCUGCAUAAUUGUCUUCCCUUUGUCAGUAUUUUUUACAGUAUGUGUAUGGCUUGAUUCAGCAGUAUCACGACGUUCGAUGUGAUUCUUGAGAGAUGCAAUCUCAUUAUCCUUUUCUUCAACGACCUUCAUGAGUAUGUUGAUCUUCCUUUCCAGCUCAGCCAUUAUGUCUUCAUUUGUAUCCACGCCAGUCACCAUAACUGACAUGAUAUUUGGAUGAGGCAUCUCCUCAUUCGAGCAUUCACAUGAGGAAAUUUGUUCGUCAAUCAAAGGAUUUUCUUUUAUUAUAAUUCCACCUUUUGGUGGUUUGGACAGUUGUCCCAAAUGUUCUUUGCGGCCUCAAAUGAUGGCAUUUCCUAAGAUGAUUGAGGCUUCCUUGAGCGGCCACGAGUAUUUGACUGCUUACCGAUGUCACUUGGAGCUUUGGAAGUAUUGCCUUGAGAUGUCAUGAUAUCUUUAGAUGUUCUUAAAAGAGAAAGAGAUGAAAGGUAGAGAUUGUCCCACUGGGCGUGCCAAACUGUUCACACGAGAUUUCGAAGAAAUGUAUUUCGUGGAAUUGAAAUUUGCAUACUGAUGAAUAUUGUGAAUACAAUCUCUAGUAUUUACUCAUUUGAUGCUUUCUCUCGAAUACAAGAUAAAAACUUUAGAACUUCUUGGUCUUCGGUCUUUAGGAUGUUGUAGUUGCAAGUCUAUUUGAGCUUCAGUCUUCUGGAAUUCAAGGAAAGUUUGAUUUUCCAAGUCUUCAAUCUUUCAGAAGAUGAUAAUCUUGAAGCUGAUAAGAACUUGCACGUCUUGAGAGCUUUAUAGAAGUUUGAAUCUUCAAUUCUUCAGUACAUCAGAGUUUCGAUUCUUCAUUCAACCAAAGACCCCCUCAAAUGAAUGACAAAGGUCUCUAUUUAUAUAGAAAUUUUGUGGCCUUUAGGUGGGCUUUGGCCCAUUUGCUUGUUAGGCUUGGACUUUGACCAAUUUGUCUGUUGGGCUUAGGCUUGGGCCCAUUUACCUUAUUGGGCUUGGGUUCAUCUGCUUGUUGAGCUUGAACUUGACUAAUCUGCUUAUUGGACUUGAAUUUGGUUGGAUUAAGUAAACUUAAUUAUCAAAAUCCAAUAAAAUAUAAUUAUCGAAUAUUUGUUGUGAUGGUGUGGCAGAAUUUAAUUGGCUGAAAUUUCUUGCUCAACAGCCUCUAUGUAAAAUUUCUGGAUCCCCAACUGUGUAUCGCUGAUAGACUCGUAUGAUCUAUCAGUGAUAGACCAAUAUUUACAACAUGGUUUAUCGAUGAUAGACUUCUAUCAUUGAUAGAAUUUGACAAAUUUUGUUAUAUUUGCAAUUUUUUAAAAUGUUGCUAUAUACUUAAUUAUAUUGAAUCUAAUUGCUAAAUUUGAAACUAUCUCUUUUUAUAUUUAUCAUUGUGGGUCUAUGGAUUUUUUUCGUUUUCGAAAUUGUUCUAUACAAAGUAAAUAUUUUACCGGUUUGUUACAUUUUUUAAAAAAAGCCUAUUAAUAAUGUUAUUAUCAACAUAAAUGUCUUUUAAAGAAUAAAAAUAAAAGAUACAUAAUUUUAUAACUGUGUAUAUUAUACUGAAGUUAUUGCAAAUGAAGUUAGAUUGUAAAGUCAUAAAAACUUAUCUUGAUUUUCCUAAUAAAAAACCAAAAUAUUUAAACCAAUUUUUUGUAUCAGUUUUAUUAAAAAAAAAAAAAAACCAAAGCAAUAGACAUACAUGUUUUUUAUUGGGGUUUUUUAAAAAAUAUAGAAAUGCGACAAAAUAUUUGCACUAUAUAGAACUAAUUCAAAAAAACAAAAAAAUAUUCAUAGAUCUACAAUGUAAAACCAAAAAUUGCAUCGUGUAUCAAUAUUCUUAACGAUUUUUUAUCUUUUAUAGUUGAUCUAAGCCAAUAUCCAAUGAUUUUUGUUCACAUCGUGUACUAAUUUAUAUUUAAUUUUUGUUCAUAUCGUGUACUAGUUUAUAUUUCACAUAAUCUUGAACCAGAUAACAUUUUGAAGAAAAAAAAUACAAGAUGACCAUGAUUAAAAAAAUAUAAAAGAAAAAAAAAACUGCAAAAGAAGAGAAGGACGUUGGAAAGGAAAUAAAAAAAAAUGGCAGAAGAGAAAAUGAUGGGAAGAAAGUCAAACGUGAAAUACUUUUUAAAAAUGGCCGAUUUCAUGGAUCUUUUGAUUUUGUUGCCUAAACUAUAAAUAUUUUGAUGUUUUAUUAUAUUUAUGAAAAUUAACAUUUUUUGUUUUUGCUUUUGAUUUUUUUAAACAACUAUAACACAUAAAUUAUAUGGAAGGACAAAACUACUAAAAAUAUUUACAAUUAUAAGAAAAUGUCACAGUCUAUUUGUGUGAUAGAAUAAGAUAGAUCAAGAUAGACUAUUACAUAAAUCUAUCAUGAUCUACACAUAUUAAAGUCUAUCUUGAUCUAUCGCAGUCUAUUGUAAAUAAAUUUUGAAUACUUUGAUUUAUUUUGCUAUAUUUGAAAAUAACACAAAUUAAUUUCUUUUUUAAUUACAAACUGAAUUUCUGAAAUGGGGCUAAGUUAAUGUAGGGUUAUAUUUUUGGAAAAAUAAAAGGGGAAUGUUUUAGUAUGAUAACCAAUUUCUUACUAUUAUUUUCCAAUGGGCAUGCUUCAGUUGACCAUGUUUAUGGACCUUUUCGUUUUCUUUUUCUAAUCUUUGAAAUGUUAAACCUUGAGUCUAGGGUCUUAAUAUCUGUCUAUUUUUUAAAUGUGAACAUGAGAAAAAUCAAACUCGAGAAAAACUGUAUUAUUCCAUGAAGCAGACAUAAAUAGUGACGGUUGUGGUAACCAUUUCAGAUUUUGUAUGAAUAGAAUAGUUGUUAUUGUUUAUAUAUCUAUUAUUCUGGUUCUUAUUUAUAUAUCUAUUAUUCUUGUUUUUUUUAAAGGUAUUUUAUUGCUAAAAGUAGAGAGGGAAUUGAACCUCAUGGCCUUGGCACAACCAACAAAACCAUCAAACAAACUAACCUAAAAAAUAAUUACCUAACAUAACACACAAAUAUAUAAUACUUAUUUGACUUAUCUUUAUGAUGUUUUUAUAACUCAUAUGUGGUUUCCAAUUUUGAUUGUGUGCCACCUUAAAAGACUAUGGCAGAUUGACUUUUGUUUGUAUUAAAUAAAAUAAUGGAACCAAAUACUAACAAGAGAUCCUAGGUUGAGUAAUUAAAAAAUUAAUAAAUAAUGAAAACAAUGUUUCUCCAAACUUUUGUCAUUUAAUUAAUGUGAAAGUAGAAAAUGGCGACCAUUGAAAGCUUGAAAUGUUCAAUAUUGAAGUCUUCCCAUCAUCCCAACAUCUUAAAUAUACUUUCAGUUUCUCUCGAUCUAAUUUAUUAAUUCAGCUUUAAGAUGGAGCGUUUGAGGAAGACUCUUGUGGGUCUCACGGUGAUCAUCUUAUUAUCAACACUGGCCUCAGCAGCCUCACAAGCCAAACCUGAUUGUGAUGAAUGGUGUGGCGACUUACGAAUUCCAUAUCCAUUUGGAGUAAAACAAGGAUGUUAUUUCAACCAAGCAUUCUUAAUUACAUGUGACAAAGCCUUUAACCCUCCAAAGGCGUUUCUAAAGGACACAAACAUUAGCGUUACCAAUAUAUCACUCAAUGGUGAGCUCCACAUGUUGCAGCCUAUAGUCCGAUAUUGCUACGAGGAUGUGCAAUUAGUGAGUGGUACUCCUUUUAUCCCCAACACAACCAACCUUUCUGCACCGGCGACAUUACCGAUUGCGGAUGGCAAAAACAAGUUCAUCGCCAUCGGUUGCAAUACGUUCGGUUUAUUCACAGGGAUGCUAAAGGGAGGUGAAUUUCUAACUGGUUGUGUUGCGAUAUGUACAAAUAAUAGUAUUAUAGUUGAUGGGUCGUGUUCUGGGACUGGAUGUUGUGAGUUGGAUAUUCCAAAUGGGUUGAGUGAUUUGAGUUUGGCUGUGGGUCCAGUGUUACCUGAUACUAAUCGUAGUUUAGUGAAGAAUAAUUCAUGUGGGUAUGCUUUUGUGGUUGGAGAAGAAGGGUUUAAGUUUAAAUCAAGUUUUAUUGAUAAUUUUGAAGAUAAGGAAGUUGAGGUUGUGGUUGAUUGGAGUAUUGGAAAUGAAACAAUAAUUGAUGUUUGUGGAAUAAAUAGUAAAAGGAAUAGUAGUUUCUCUGAUGAUAGAUCUCAAUACCGUUGCCAAUGUCCGGAUGGUUACGAAGGAAAUCCAUAUCUCCCUCAAGGAUGUGAUCAAGGUAUGAAUACCUUACUUUUCUCUACUAAUUUUCCUUCAUAUCUUACAAUUUCAUCAUUCAAGCUACUCAAUUUUCAUCUUACAAUUUCAUUAUUUUUUAAAAGAAUUAAUAAUGAUGUUCGUUAUUAUAAAGGUUAGUGAGAGACAACAGGAAAAUAGAUGGAACGAAACUAAAGACUACAAAAAUUAAGACAAAAUAGAUCGAUCAAGAAUCGACCAAUAAAUAGAAAAUGGUAAAGAUUAAGGACUUGUUUGAUAACCUUUUUAUUUCUUCUUCUCUUUUUGUUUAUCAUCUUUUAACAAACACAAUAGUCGUUUUCAAAUUUUAAGAAAUAUUUUUUAAAAUUGAACAAUAAUUGAGAAAAUAUGAAAAGUAGUUUCCUCCUAGUUAUCUUUUCGUCUUAUUUUAUUUCAAUUUUUUUGUAAUCUAUUAUUGUUUGUUUGCUCAUCGGCAGAGACACGCUUAAAAUCAAUUUUUCCUCCAUUUCUUGAGUUCAACUCCCAUUCUCUUUUUCGGAAAUUUUCAAAAAUAGUAAAUUUUAUAAAAUACUUUCAACUUAUAACAAAUUUUAUCACUAAUAUGCUAGUGAUAAUAGAUUAAAAAUUUUUGCUAUAAUUUGUAUAUAUUUUAAUUUAUUUUACUAGGUUUAGAAAUCUCUCUUCUCUUUUUUCUUCUUUUAUUAAUUUUUCAUAUAUGUUUAAUAUUUUUUCCUUCUUUGACUAAUUCUUCAGAUACGUUUAAUAUUUUUUUAUUUCUUUUAUUUGUUUUUCAUGUAUGUUUAAUAUUUUUUCCUUUCUUUAUUAUUUUUUAUAUUUAUAUAUUUAAUUUAAUUUUAAAUUUAAAUUUUUAAUAUUUAAUUAAUGAUUAUUUGAUUUCAAUUUUCAUUUUUAAUUUUAAAGUUUCUUUUCUAUUUAGCUACAUUUAUUUAUUUUUCGUAUUUACAUCUUUAAUUCAAUUUUAAAUUUAAAACGGUUGAAUAUUUAAAUUUAUAUAUUAUUUUGACCUUUCAAAUUUAGAUAUUUAAUAUGUUUGUUUAAAUAUUUCCUGAAUUGUCAAUUUUAAAAUUUUGCAAUAGACAUGUUUAUAUGUUAUUUUAAAUUUAAAUUUAUUACUUUUAGUUCCUUCUAAAUUAGUUAGAAUUUUAUCUUGUAUAAUUUUUUUUAUUAACAUAUUCAUUUUGGUUAUUUUUAGGAAUUUACAAUCGGUUGAAUUAGAAUCAAAAUUUGUAUUGUAACUUGUUAUUAAUUUUAAUUUUGCAACAAGGAUUUAUGUAUAUUUGAAAAUGUUGAGGUUGUAUAACUACUCUUUUAUAUUUUAAUGAAUUCUAUAUACUAGAAAAAUAAUGGAAAAUGUUAUGAAAAAUAACACAAACAACGAGAAACAAAAAAUAAUUAUCAAACAAAAUUAUGCUUUUAGUUCAAUUUACAAGAACAAUAAACAUAAAUAGUUAUCGAACAUAGUUUUGUUUCUUGUUUUUUUUUUUAAAAAAAAAGAAAGAAACAAGGAACGAAAAACAAGAAACAAGAAACAAAAUACAUAAUUAUUAAACAUGCCCUUAAUAAUCAAGUGCAUGUAAUGAAUUUUUAUGACCAUGAAUAUUUAUCAAAGUUUUAAAGGUUAAUUAGAGCAAUGCUAGGCAAGAAAAUGAUUUCGAUGCAUCGACAGAUUUAGAAUAGGUGAUCUGGAGGGCUCGAGCCUCUGUCAAUUUUAUAUUUUAUAUAUAUGUAUAUAUAAAUUAUAAUAUCAAUACUAAUCACUAACUCAGUGGUGAAACAAGCUUUCAGCUCAUUGUAUACUCAAAGUUAAGUUUCACUUCUAAAUUUUUUUUCAAUAUCAUUUUCGGUGAAUUAUAAAGUUUUGUCAAUAAAUAGUAAGCCCUAAGUUUGUCGGUGUCUAUAUAGAUGAAAAGGAAAAAGAAAUUAUAUAUAGGAAGAUUAAUUUGGUAAUGGAAGUGUUAAUGUUUGUAAUGACUUUAUUGUUCAAUUUAAUUUUGUGGAUUUGUUUAGAUAUAAAUGAAUGCGAGCAUAAAGAGCUGAAUGACUGCACGCACGAAUGCAUUAACACAAAUGGAAGCUAUACUUGCAAAUGUCCUAAAAACUAUAAAGGAGAUGGAAGACGAGGGGAAGAUGGACACGGCUGCACUCGAGAUUCCAAGGCUAUUCCCAUCAUAAUCGGUAUGUUUUUAUGUUCUCUAAUACUUAUCAAAUCUUUUUGUAUGCUUUAAUUCUCCAUAUAUAUGCUUUGAAUAUAAAUAAUGAUAUACGUACCCAAGCAAAAUGUAGGAAUUGGAGUAGGGUUCACUGUUUUAUUAAUUGCUAGCACAUGGAUAUUCUUGGGUUACAAAAAGUGGAAGUUCAUCAAAAGGAAAGAGAAAUUUUUUAAAGAAAAUGGAGGUUUCAUACUUCAACAACAACUUUCUCAAUGGCAAUCCUCCCCAAAUGAAAUGGUCAGAAUUUUCACCCAAGAAGAAUUGGAGAAGGCCACAAACAACUACGACCAUAGCACUAUUGUUGGCAAAGGUGGGUACGGUACUGUUUACAAAGGAGUCUUAGAAGAUGGCUUGGCAGUGGCAAUCAAGAAAUCGAAACUUAUAGACCAAUCCCAAACUGAUCAAUUCAUUAAUGAAGUUAUUGUUUUGUCUCAAAUCAACCAUCGCAACGUGGUCAGACUCUUGGGAUGUUGUUUAGAGACACAAGUCCCGUUGUUGGUGUAUGAGUUUGUAACCAAUGGCACCCUCUUUGAACACAUCCAUGACAAAACCAAGCAUGCUUCACUUUCGUGGGAAGCCCGCUUAAAAAUAGCAUUGGAGACUGCAGGUGUGCUUUCGUAUUUACAUUCGUCAGCUUCCACUCCAAUUAUUCAUAGAGAUGUCAAGACGACCAACAUACUUUUAGAUAAUAAUUACACUGCAAAGGUAUCCGAUUUUGGAGCGUCAAAGUUGGUUCCAAUGGAUCAAACACAAGUAUCCACGUUGGUACAAGGGACAUUAGGGUAUUUAGACCCAGAGUACUUAUUGACAAGCGAGUUGACAGAGAAGAGCGACGUUUAUAGUUUUGGAAUAGUGUUGUUAGAGCUUAUAACUGGGAAGAAAGCGGUGAGUUUUGAUGGGCCAGAAGAGGAGAGGAACCUAGCAAUGUAUGUGCUUUGUGCAAUGAAAGAAGAUCGGUUGGAAGAAGUUGUGGAGAAAGCGAUGAUGGUGAAAGAGGCAAGUUUUGAGGAAGCUGUUAAACAAGUGGCUAAGGUAGCAAUGAAAUGCUUGAGAAUUAAAGGGGAAGAGCGGC